rnacentral:misc_RNA from 1 species
GAAAUGCGAUACGUAGUGUGAAUUGCAGAAUUCCGUGAAUCAUCGAAUCUUUGAACGCAUAUUGCGCUCGAGGCUUCGGCCAAGAGCAUGUCUGCCUCAGCGUCGGGUUAAUAUCGCUCCCCAAACACACUGUGUGUAUGGGUAUAGCGGAUCUGGCUGUUCCAGCUAGGCACGUACACUUGUGUACAUAUGUGCUCUGGAUCAGCUGAAGUACAGAGGCUAACCAAGGACCUUUAAGGGCCGCAACUGGGUAGGCAACUUGUUGCUAUUCUUAGUUGUUGGUCUUGGACCCUGUGUUUGGCCCUCUAACCAGGAAUUAACCCUUCAUUUUCUCGACCUGAGCUCAGGCAAGAACACCCGCUGAACUUAA